AAGCCCCUCCUCACUAUCUCCAUUCGAGUGUGCAUCACGUGAGGCUUGAGAAAGGCCAAGGGGCAGUUGCUCAACAAGCACACAGCCUCUCUUCCAAGACCUAAAGGAGGGCAUUCAAUUUUGCUUCCUGCCCAAUCCAGCACCCAGAGGGACAGGCGUCCAUUUCUUAGAGGAACCAGACAUCUCCCACUGCUGCUGUCACCCAUCUGGCCCUGCUGCUGGUCGUCCCCCCAGUCACCAUCUCUGGCCCUCUGGAACACUCAGGCUAAGGCCAAGGGCUUCCAGAUUGAGCUCCCCAGACUCCUGUCCUGCCCAGGAGACCAGGACCUCUCUGCUUAAUUAGCCAGGGCGAGGGCCCCAGGGGACAAUGUCACCCUAAGGGAACAAAGCCAGCUCCCAUCCACAUCCUGCUGGACUCAAGAAAAGAGAACCACUCAAUUAAGUCUGAUUUGCCAAAA